AUGGACAUCGAGUUUACACAGGGAUUCAUGGGAGAUUUCAAAACCUGGAUACUUAUUUAUCUUUACCCCGGCUUGCACUGGAAAAUAGGAAAUACUCUUGGGCCAAAAUUCAGCUGGGGAUAAAUAUUUCCAGUUUCUCAAAGGAAAUUCCUGUUGUGCCUCCAGAGAAAUAUUAGUUUCUGUAAAGACAGGUAUUUUCCAGUUAGGAUUAAAGUUGCACCCAGAUAUUUUGUAUAAUCCUGUUAACAAGCCGAUGCUUCUUCCUUAGAAAUCAAUACGUCUGUGCCAGCAAGUGCUAAGUCCUGUGACCUGGCAGAAGCCUUUUGUAAGGUGAUGGUGGUUAGGUAAAUAUCUUGUAUCAAAUCU